UCCUGUAGCAUGCACGUAUGGUUAACCGUUAUGUGAUGAAGUCGGAGCAUGAUUUAUUUAUUGAUUGUCAUCCUUUGUGUGGAGGUCGGGAUCGCGCGAUGGUUAACUCCUACCAACCUUUCCCCUAGGAGCAUGCGUGUAGUACCUUGUUUCGACGACUAAUAGACUUUCGCAAUAAGUAUGUGAGUUCUUUAUGACUAAUGUUGAGUCCAUGGAUUAUACGCACUUUCACCCUUCCACCAUUGCUAGCCUCUCUAGUACCGCACAACUUUCGCCGGUGCAUUACACCCACCAUAUAGCCUCCCUCAAAAC
rnacentral:lncRNA from 1 species